rnacentral:rRNA from 1 species
UACAGAGGGUGCAAGCGUUGUUCGGAUUUAUUGGGCGUAAAGAGCGUGUAGGCGGCCUGAUAGGUCGGUUGUGAAAACUGGAGGCUAACCUUCAGACGUCGACCGAAACCAUCUGGCUAGAGUCCGGAAGAGGAGAGUGGAAUUCCUGGUGUAGCGGUGAAAUGCGCAGAUAUCAGGAAGAACACCCGUGGCUAAGGCGGCUCUCUAGUACGGUACUG